UAGAAAAUGGAGGAAAUCUAUCCUGUGAC
rnacentral:piRNA from 1 species